CCUUUACUUUCACUCUACAACAGCUAUAACAAGGCAGUGGCGCCGGGCGGUGCGAAUCCCCUUUGUGUUCUUUUUUUUUCCUUGAUUGAAUGCAAAUCUCCUUUGUGUUCGGCUGUUUACUGUUGCGUCCACGACGAUAGGCAGGCUUCCCCUCGUGGCGGCGGCGCAGAAGCCGUGCGUCUGUUUGGUGCGGCCGUGGGAUAAGGGAAGGAAUCCACCGCCGUCCGGUCCGUAAUCCGUGGGGAUAAAACCCAAUCCCCCGCUGCCCCGGUAUCAAUCGCGGCAGCAUGGAGUCGGGAGCCAGAUCAGAAGCAAAGCCAGACGAGGAAGGGCCGGCCCCGGCGGGAAGCAGCAGCGGCAGCAAGGUGUACCACGAGAGGCAAAGGAUGCAGUUCUGCCUCCUCCACGCCCUCAACAACCUUAUGCAGGAAAAAGAAUCGUUCACCCGAGCUGAGCUGGAUGGGAUUGCUGAAAAUCUUGUUCUUACUGAUCCAAACAAGGAGAGAUGGACUCCUCUAUCGUUGAUUUGGAAGCCCCACCACAAUGCAUUAACAGGGAACUAUGAUGUAAAUGUUCUUAUCGCGGCGGUAGAAUCUAGAAAGAAGAAGGUAGUUUGGCAUGAUCAUCGGAAGGGGGCAUCUUCGAUAGAUCUGGAUGCCGAAGCGCUGGUAGGUCUGAUGAUCAAUGUACCGGUCAGGAGGUUGAGGGGCCUGUGGACCGGGAGGCAUUGGGUGGCAAUUCGAAGCAUUGAUGGCAUCUGGUUUAAUCUGGACAGCGAUCUUCCGUCGGCCAAGCAGUUUCAGUGCAAAGAAAAACUAAUUGCGUUCCUGGACAGCGUUCUCAGUCAAGGCGGGGAGCUCAUGAUCGUGCUCCAAGACGAAUGAUUGCACUGCUUCAGAUCUCGAGAGGCUAGAGCAAUUGGCUUCUCCGUGAUUUACCUGUUGCCCAUAUUUCUGAAUUGACAAUGAGAUCACCUGCGUCUGCAAUAGCAGCUUCUCUGAAACUCUCAAUCUUUGUGAGAAUCAUGGUGUGCCUGUAGGAGUUCAGAUACAUGGAUGCAUGGGAUGAUAGAAGUUUUCCCUUUUCUGAGAUUGUGUAUGCAGAGCUUAGGAAAGGAGAAUCUGUUCCGGCAGUGUAUAUGCCUUUUUUUUGUAACUGAAGUGUAUAUGCUGUGUGGAAAACUAUUUUGUGUGCAUUGCGUGUACAUUACAUCUUGAACCAUUUGGUGUGAGUUUUAUUUAUUUUCUUGUGUGUUUCUCAUGUUGGUCAUGUACUGCUAAAAUGAUCGACAGUGGUAGAGCUGCUAUUUAAGCCUAUUAGCGCCUCUUCUGGUUGGAACUUGGAAGCAAGGCAGUUUC
rnacentral:rRNA from 1 species